rnacentral:rRNA from 1 species
UACGGAGGGGACUAGCGUUGUUCGGAAUUACUGGGCGUAAAGCGCACGUAGGCGGAUUUGUAAGUCAGGGGUGAAAUCCCGGGGCUCAACCUCGGAACUGCCUUUGAUACUGCAAAUCUCGAGUCCGGAAGAGGUGAGUGGAAUUCCUAGUGUAGAGGUGAAAUUCGUAGAUAUUAGGAAGAACACCAGUGGCGAAGGCGGCUCACUGGUCCAGCACUGACGCUGAGGUGCGAAAGCGUGGGGAGCAAACAGG